rnacentral:tRNA from 1 species
GGCGCGAUGGCAGAGUGGUUAUGCAGCGGCCUGCAAAGCCGUGCACCCCGGUUCGAUUCCGAGUCGCGCCUCCA